CCUACGGGAGGCAGCAGUGAGGAAUAUUGGUCAAUGGCCGGAAGGCUGAACCAGCCAUGCCGCGUGAAGGUCAGUGCCCUAUGGGCGUUAAACUUCUUUUGUGCGGGAGCAAUAAUGGUCACGUGUGGCCAGACGAGAGUACCGUACGAAUAAGCAUCGGCUAACUCCGUGCCAGCAGCCGCGGUAAUACGGGGGAUGCAAGCGUUAGCCGGAUUUAUUGGGUUUAAAGGGUGCGUAGGCUGUGAGGUAAGUCAGCGGUGAAAUGCCCCCGCUCAACGGGGUGAAGUGCCAUUGAUACUGCCUGGCUGGAAGGCGGAUGACGUGGGAGGAAUGUGUGGUGUAGCGGUGAAAUGCAUAGAUAUCACACAGAACACCGAUUGCGAAGGCAUCUCACGAAUCCGCGAUUGACGCUGAUGCACGAAAGCGUGGGUAUCAAACAGGAUUAGAUACCCCAGUAGUC
rnacentral:rRNA from 1 species